UUGACUUUUUAAUAUGAGUGUCAUUGGGUGGCGGAGUUUUAUUUUAGCUGAAUGGUUUCAAUGAGGAAUCUUGAUUUUUAGUGUGGAUGACCGGAGUUAUUGAUCAGUCGGUGUUGGCAAUCUGGGUAUUUCUCUAUUUAAUUGGGCUGCUUUUGAACUUGUCACCUGUUGACGCUCCGGUAAGCUGAGUUCCAAUGAACUCCACCAGUUGCCGGUAACGCUGUAAACUCCACGGGUUCUUUCAUAAGCCAUAUUGGGGGAGGGUAGGUGGGUUCUUUUAGAUUGAUUUUUUUUUUUUUUUGAAAUGUUUUGUUAGUUAAAAAGAUUUACAAUAGCUUUUCUCAAGAAUUAAUUUUUUUUAAUAAUUAAAAAACUUUAAAAAGAAAAAAAUUGGCGUCUCACGCUCUUUGGAGCAGUGUGAUGCACACACUAUGUCACCUUAAAAAAUAAUGUUCAAGUGGCACAGUAAAAGUGGUUUUGUAGGGUUUAUAUGGUAGGUGUCUCAGUUAGAGGGUUCAAAUAAAUUUCACGGACAAAUUCGAGGGUCUGUCGAUGACUUAAGCCUAUGAUAAAAUAUAAGAGUUGAAUAGAUGACCUUUUGGGUUUGUGAUGAGUAUUGUUUUUCCUCUGACUUGUAAUGUAAUCUCAAUUGGAUAAUCUAUCUAUAUAUAGCAUAAAGCUAGGCAUAUACAAGGUGUUGUGACAUCUCUCUAUGACCAGCAUUCUUAUUUAUCUUUUUUCUCCUUUUUUUUUUUUGUGGCAUUUUCCUCUUCAUUUUCACUAUAUAAAAUAGAAAGACAAUAAUUAACUAGCUAAUUGACUUGGAUUAAUUACAUUAACGAAUACAUCAGCCCACGUAACACUUGCAAUUAAGCCCAACUAACUGUUUGUCUAUUCAGCCCAAAGUAACUGUUAGCCCACUUAUCUUUUAAGAACUGGUGUUACAACUCAUACGUUCAUUAUUGUCUUUUCUUAUUUAUUCCUGGAAAACUCAAUCACCAUUGGUCUCUCUAUAAACGGAGAAAUAAUCUCCUUCUGUCAAACGCAUAUUUCACAUUCUGUCAAGAUUACGUUUGGAGCUUCGGCGAAAGGUUUAUGUUCGAGGCUUGAGUUCUGGUUGUUGGUUCACUGUUUCGGUCGAGUUCGCUGUCAGAUUUCAAUCACUGUUUUAGUGUUGAAACGAAGCUACAUUUAUUGGGAUUCUGUUGUUACUAAAUAAAAUUUGAAUACUUGGGGUAGAUUUGAAUUCCUCUCAAUACGACGUCAUACUCUCGGCAUAGCAUUAGAAGAAAACUUGGGGUUAAUCUAAUAAAAGGAUAUUUUGGUAAAUAAAAGUUUAGGUCCAAUCAAUCAAACUCAAAUGAGAAAAGAGCACAAUGAGAUAUGGAUUUUAUUUCAAAUUCCGUCGAAGUAAGAGAAAAGAGUGAAAAAACAUUGAUGAGAAAUCGAGGUAGACUGCCGAUUCAUUUCAAGACCUAUUAUCGAAAGAAAUACUUGAAAGAGCUUCAAGGGCUCUUGAUCCAAAUUCAAAUGAAGUUAGAAGUAACAAAUCGGAAAGUGCUGCUAACGAUAGUCAAUUUUCAUAAAUUUCAUCUACAAUAUUCAAGUCGGAUUGAUAGAGUUUAAGUACGGUAAAUGUUUGUUUACGCACGAAAAAGUUAGGAAUGAUUCACAAAUGCCUCAAAAGACGUGAGACAUAUUGGAGUAAAAAGUAUCCUGGAGAGCUACAAAACAAGAAUAAAGAAAGAACAAAAAAGUAUUUGCUCUACUGUUUUUUCAGGGGAGUUCUUAUACACUUCGAUAAUAUAGGUUAUUGUGGUUGAGCUUGAGUCUGGCAUAUACUUACGAUGAUGAGGUGCUUAAGAAAGUUGAAGCGACGGAAAAGUUAGGGCUUUAGAAAUUAGAGAUACACACCAACGAAGAUAGUUUUAUUUUCACUUUUGAAUCAACUGUUAAUGUCAACUUAUUUCUUGUAUGCACAAGUCCACUCCUUAAGCUACUUACCCAUCUUCUCUUUAGGUCUUGACUUGUGAUGGAAAUCUAGGAUGACACACGAGGAAGAUGAAAAAAGAAGCUGGAGAAGAAAUUUUCUGAAAGAGAGGACUACCAAAAUUUGUAGUAGAAAUAUUCAGUUGAGUUUUUGCUUUUAGUCUUAGUUAUGAAGUUUAAGGUUGUCUUUUAGCUUAUUUUUUUAACUGCUUUACAAUGUAAUGAUAUCUAAUAUCUUUGGGUUUUACCCUCAAUUUUAGCACAGAACUCAUUCAUUAAAAUCAAAA